UACGAAGGGGGCUAGCGUUGCUCGGAAUCACUGGGCGUAAAGCGCACGUAGGCGGCUUCUUAAGUCAGGGGUGAAAUCCUGGAGCUCAACUCCAGAACUGCCUUUGAUACUGAGGAGCUUGAGUCCGGGAGAGGUGAGUGGAACUGCGAGUGUAGAGGUGAAAUUCGUAGAUAUCAGGAAGAACACCAAUGGCGAAGGCAGCUCGCUGGGACGGUACUGACGCUGAGGCACGAAAGCGUGGGGAGCAAACAGG
rnacentral:rRNA from 1 species